ensembl:lncRNA
CGUUGUUUCUCGAGGUCCUGGUCGGCCUCGGCUCUAGUGAGACAGGGACCUGAGGUGGUCUGCCGGUCUGCCGCCCACACGAGGAGCACUUGGCAACGCCACAGGCGUUUCCGGCGCAGAAGUUGCCUUUAAAAAUGCCUAUAGGGACUUGCCUGAUGGUCCAGUGGUGAAGAGUCUGCCUGCCGAUGCAGGGGACAUGGGUUCAAUCCCUGGUCUGGGAAGAUCCCACGUGCUACAGGGCAACUAAGCUGGUGUACCACAACUGUGAAGCCCAUGCAUCCUCGAAUCCAGGCCCUGCAACGAAAGAAGUCACCACAGUGAGAAGCCCAAGCGCCUCAAUGAGGAUCCAACACAGCUGAUAAAUAAAUAAUUUUAAGAAUCCGUAUAGCACACAAUUCACCAGUAGUGGCAUUUAGUACCUUCACCACGGUGUGCAGCCACUGCCUCUAUCUAGUUCUGGAAUAUUCUCAUCAUCCCCAAAGGAAACCCCAUACCCAUUAAAGCAUCACACCUCAUUCUCCCCUCCCUCGGCCCCUGGCAACCACCAAACUACUUUCUAUCUCUAUGUAUUUACCAAUUCUGGAAUGAUACAAUACACAGCCUUUGGAGUCUGGCUGAUUUCAUGUGGCACAACAUUUUCAAGGUUCAUCCAUGCAGUAGCCUAUGUCGGUACUUUGCCCCUUUUAAUGGCUGAAUAAUAUUCCACUAUGUGGAUGAACCACAUUUUGUUUAUCCAUCCAACUCUCCAUGGACACUGAGAUGUUUCCACCUUUUGGCUAUUGGCAAUAAUCCUAUCAUUUUCAUUCCAAUCCCAAAGAAAGGCAAUGCCAAAGAAUGCUCAAACUACCACACAAUUGCACUCAUCUCACAUGCUAGUAAAGUAAUGCUCGAAAUUCUCCAAGCCAGGCUUCAGCAAUACAUGAACUGUGAACUUCCAGAUGUUCAAGCUGGUUUUAGAAAAGGCAGCGGAACCAGAGAUCAAAUUGCCAAUAUCUGCUG